UUAAACACAUCAGGACCCGUUCUUCACUUUCCUGCUCUAACCGUGAGGGAUUCUGGGAAUUACACCUGCACUUGGAAAACCAAGGAGACGUCAGGAUCUAAAACCAUCAGCCUUCAGGUCGAGGGAGAUUUUGCCCAGUGGAAAAUCUGGAUCAUUGUUUUGGUGAUUGUUGUUGUGAUAGCGAUCGUAGCAGCUGUCGUUUUCUACUGGAGGGAAAGAGGAAAAGCUCAGGAUCAAAACUGUGGGAAAACUACAGAGAAAGCUUGGGUUGAAGAAAACACACAUUAUAUACAGAUAAAACCAGAGCUAAACCACUCUCCUCGGCUGGGUGAGGAAACAUUGCACAAAGAGGAAGUGACUUAUGCGUCUGUGCGUAUUAAAGCCAAAGAACAAAAGCAAGGGUGUGUCCACACUGAACAACAGAAAGAGGACGACAGUGUUAUCUACAGCAGUGUCAUAAAAUCUGAUCACAAUCUAAAAAAACUGUUAUCCUGAAUUCUGUAAAUCGCACAUACAUGUUGGUAGAGUAACACGUUCUUAACAUAAAGAUGCUGC